rnacentral:rRNA from 1 species
UACAGAGACUGCAAGCGUUAUUCGGAUUCACUGGGCGUAAAGGGUGCGCAGGCGGCCGUGUGUGUCAGGUGUGAAAGCCCGGGGCUUAACCCCGGAAUUGCGCCUGAAACUACAUGGCUAGAGCAUUGGAGAGGGUAGCGGAAUUCACGGUGUAGCAGUGAAAUGCGUAGAUAUCGUGAGGAACACCAAUGGCGAAGGCAGCUCGCUGGGACGGUACUGACGCUGAGACGCGAAAGCGUGGGGAGCAAACAGG